CUCUAACGAUUGCAGGAAGCGACGGAAGCCCACGCACCAUCACGAGGACAGCUGCCGGCGGCCUCGACUUCGCCAGGAAUGGUGCCACGCCUGCCUAAGGAUCUCAUCUUGACCUAGCACUGUCUGCUCCUCAUAGACCAAUGAGCGUGAAGUAUGUGGCUUCGCG